rnacentral:lncRNA from 1 species
CAAAAGGUUCCUCGUCAUAGGAUUGUCGGAAGGAUACUGACAAUGCAUAGACCGGUACAUACUUUGUCCGCUUCAAUUAGAAGGAUAGAAAGUCUCAUCCCAUUCGUGUGGUGACACUAAGAAAAGUAUGUAGGUGGUCAUUAAGGGAAUGAGUUCACUGAACACAAUCGAACGAGAGUACUUGCAUGGAGGUCUACUCACAUGUCAAGCAAGUAACUCUAAUGGUUGGAAUAAUGUAAGUAGUCCUUUGACCUGAGGCAUCAUCGUUGUCUUGUGGUUAAGUACUUGAUCUUUGAUUAUGUCAAAGUCACUCCAUUCGCGGGUGUCCACGACAUAGUUGGGGUUAAGCCACUUAGUCAUGAAGGCAAGUGAAUGCGCAACAAGGGAUCUCUAAUCCUCGUUAUGAAAGGAUGAAUACUCUAAGAUGUGAUUCGAGAAUCUUCGGCCGAAGUAUCGAGCGUAAUAAAGGAAAGCGUUCCUAUACGACUCAAUUGAAUCAUAUAAGAAGGAAUAAUCACAUUAGGGGUUUGACAUAAUAUAUCCAUACCCUAAUAGUGUGAUUGAGAGUAUUGUUUAGGGAAGGAUCGAAUUACAUUGUAAUUCCAACUGAAUAGGUUCUCUGAACAACUUCUACAUUAGCUUGGGUAGCCAUGAUAUAUGGUUAGAUGUCAUUCAUGGCUUGUGAGUUCUUCUAGAUGAUUAAAUGUAGUCGUCAAAGAAGAAGGUGAAUUAAAAGUAAGUUUUAAUUCACUAAGUGAUUGAAUUAAAUAUAAUCAAUUGGAUUGGUGCCAAUCACCUCACUGCCUUGCUAAUUAGAACCUAAAAUGAUUGUACACUGAUACACUCUUGUAGUGAGUAAUUACUGAAUGAUGGAAAUAAUUAAUUGGAUUAAUUAAGUGUUGUGAUUAAUUAGAAAGUCUAAAGAAAUCAUAAAAGCGAUAUAAGAUCGUUCUGGGCUUAAAGAAACGUUCGGGUUUAAUUGGGCCCAUUGGGCUUUUAUUCAAGCAUAGGAUGACUUGAAAUAAGAAAAGCCCAAAGCCCAAACAAAACAAUAGGGCCGGCCAAAGAGAGGGAGAGAGAAAGUCAAGUUGUUGACUUGUUUCUUUGUGUUAUAAAAGGAACUUUAUAGUGAAAAGUUCAUUAGGGUUUUUGUGUUGAUUUAACAAAAGGAGAAAACAUAUCUCUCUCUCUAAAACACAAAGGGCCGGCCACCAAGAGGAGUUUUAGCUAAUCAUCUCUUCUCCUUUUGGUUAUUCCUCCAUCCAUCUCACUAUACUAGUGGGUGUGGAUCUUUAGACGUCUUCUACUUUGGAGACUAAAGGAGAACUAAGGAGCACUCAUUCUAGCAACGUUGAGGAAACAAGGAGGGAGGCUAGGCUCAAGGAGUUCAAGGAACAAAGGGCUUGGAGGUGGUCCAUCCUUGGUCUAAAGUCUAGAUCAAGAGGUAUAAGACUAAACCUACACUUUGUUCUUCACUAAAAUGUUUUGAUGCAUCAUAUAUAAACCUAUACAUCUUGAAGGGGAUUUGCUUGACUAUAGCUUUGAUAUUAUUUGAUAACAUGCUUCCGUUGCUUAUGUAUAUAAAUUUGAAUUGUAUAUGCAUGCUAGUCACUAGAAAUCCCACAUGAAUCUCAUAGUUUUCCCUUCAUGUCAUUCAUGGUUUAAGGGAACAGUACUGGAUAUUGGUUUAUAUGCAUAUGUCAUGUGUGGAGAAGGAUCUUCUGGCUAAGUUUUCACCAUUCAAAUCACCUAAUUUACUUUGUUUUGCAAUCUGUUUAAGUUUAGUUAAAUUUUGUCAAAAUCAAUCACCCUUUUAAUUAAGUGUCUUAGAUUAGUUAGAAAAGUGUUUAAAUCUGUCCAAUUUAGUAUUUUGAGUCUUACUAGUCUUAAAUUCGUCCAAAUAGCUCCCUAGAGUCUGUUUUGAGUCUUUUUAACUUAGUUUUGUUGUUUUGAGUGUUUUGAGUCUAUAGAGUCUAGUUUAGUGUUUUUGAGUCUUAUUUGUGUUGAUUAGCAGCCUUAGUUAAUCCUCGGUGUAGAACGAUCCCUACUUGCUUAAUACUACAAUUACAUGUUCAAUAGGGUUUAAUCUGUGUGUCAAGUUAUUGAAUUUUUAGUCUUUUUGAGUCAUGAUUAGAGCUAUUUGCAAUUAAAUAAUGGGAAUGUACAUGUUUAACUUAGUCUAGCAAUCAUAACUUUGACUAUGCUUUGAAAGUUGUUGUAUCUGCUAUAUAAUACCAUUACUCUUAGUUCUAAGAAUACUCGUGAAAAGUUACUAGUUCAAGCCUUAGAAGAAGGAUAGUGGAUACUGCCUUUUGUGAAAUUUUGAACCUAUUUGCUUCCUUUUAGAGGGAUUAAACUGUUUAUACUCCUCCUAUCCUUUUCUUUCAAAUUCAUUUCAAAUGAUCUCAUUACUCAUUUUUUAUUGAAUACUAAGAGUUAUUCUCUUUUGUGGAUACUUGUGCUUAUUAUCACCCAUGAAUCAACUCAUUGAGACGAUGUUAGGUUGUACAUGUUUUAACUAGUAAAUGGCCUAUUCCCUACCUUUGUUGUGUGAGACAUUACCCAUUUUGAAGCCAAACACAGCCAUAUCUUUCAUCACCCACACUAAACUCUACCCAUUUCCCCCCAUAAUAGCCAUUCCCUAUAGCUUGGGGAAUACCAAAGUGAUGAAGACAAAUAUAAUGCUUGAGCUUUAAACUAAGAAAGUGGCGUGUACUGAGGUAACAUGGGUUGGAAUUGCAAAAUAAGAAGAACAAAAAGGGAAAAAGAAAACAUUUUAAGAAGGAAAAAAAAAAGAAAAAAAAAAGAGAGAAGAAGAUGCAAGUUCUAAAUCCAUGGGUCCUGGACGCCGAGAACAAGUAAAGAAGAUGAAUUCAAGAGUAAAACAUGCUGGUUUUACAAGGAAGAUACUUUGGUAUAUCUCAAGUUCUAGUAUUCCUUAUCCAUCCUUUCAUAGCCUCUACCAUAAAAACCUUACAUUACAGCCUUAUGGAAGACCUAGUUGAUCUUUGAGGAUGUAUUCAUGGAUGUUAGUAAGUAUGUGUGUUAUCCUAUUCUUAGUAUUUGAUUCCUUUCAUGAGAUUUGUCUAGAAAGUUCUUUUGUUUCUAAUUGAAUUAUGUGUGAGAAUAUCUUGCUUUCCAUUACAUAACCUUACUCACAUAUACUUGUUGAGAGCAAGUCCUAGGAAUCAAGCGAACGAGUGAAUCUGUGAGAUUAGAGUUGAAACGAAUCUUAUCUUCCUUGCUUGAGCUUGUAACUUAGUAACAAGUUGAAUUUGGGCUAGAGCACCUCACUAACAUGCAGAUUUGAGUGGUGGAAAGGUAAAGUCAAAGUUAGGAAUGUAAGGCAUAAUUGAGCUUUGAUUCUUAUUAUAUUUCAAAAGUGCUCUAAUCGUUGUUUUGUAGGUUGUUUAGGAUGUUUAUAGGUACCGUCACUGUUAAAACAUUUGGAGACAUAACUCCUCCUACUAGGGAUGCCUAGAGGUUUAAAGGCUUGAUGCAUAAGCUGAAUGCAUUCGUCUCACCAACGGAAUUGGUCUUAGAUUAACUUAUGUUUGUCUUUUGUGUUGUUUUUGUUUCUUUUAGUUUUGGUUUGCUCGUGGACUAGCAAAAUCUAAGGUUGGGGGUAUUUGUUGAGUGCAUAAAGUUAUAUUUAUAUGCCCUCUUUUACUUAGGUUUUUUACUUAAAAUCUCUAUGCAUCACAAGGUAUUUUGUUGUUUGUAUUGUAUUUCAGGAUGAAAGUAAGGGCUUGAAAUCAUCUUAUUUUGAAUAUUUUAAGAGCCUAGAAUGGAUAGUUCGAAGCCCAACUCGCCCAAGACCAGACCAUAGCCCACAAGUGACCCAAGAUUCGCCAGAAAAGGCCUUUGCAGAACGGCCAACUUGCAAGCUUUGGCUCGAAGUGCUCAGAACAAAUUAGAAAAUGGGCCAUAUAUGGUUGGAAAGCCCUAAAGUCUUCUUUCUGAUGGUCUUUACAACUUGUGAUUUGGAGGUUUCGAUAAGAAGUUAUGACAGAAUAAAGAGGAGCUGUGUAGUUACAAAUUCUAAUAACAGCUAGUUUUCUGUUACUCUCCUAUACUAAAAGCUGAUUGUAAUGAGCUAUAACUGACAGUCAAUUUAAGGAAGUAAAUGUAUCAGAUGUUAUGCUCCAUUCAUAUACUGUCCAUUCCAAGCCAAAAACUGCUUUAAAAUGAUCCAAAUUGCCUUUUCUUGCCACUUUUGCCAUUUAAACCUACAAACAGACGAAAAUGGCUUAAAACACUCUAAAAAGUAGAAACUAACUACGUAAAUGCAAGGAAACAAGCUAACUAAGUCGCAUAAAUAUGCUCUUAUCAAAUUCCCCCACAUUUAGCUUUUGCUAGUCCUCAAGCAAAACAAAACAAACAAAACAUAACCUAAACCUUCCAAUGAAACAUGACACGUUAAAAAUCACUACGCACAUAGAUUUUAGCUAUCCUUACCCCUGAGCUCAUACUUAAUCGCAGUCACCACUCACUAGCUCACAUUUAAUCAAUUAAAACAACAUUUUGAAUGUAGUAACAUGCCUUAGAGAAUUCCCUCAAUUCCUCACUGGAUAUACUCUCUAUUUUCACACAAAUUUUCUGACUACACUCCCUACACUAAGUAUAUGUGAGAAGAUUGAUGUGAAUAUGUAGACUAGCACUCACAUAUGUUAUAACAUGUAUAUGAUCUCAUGAACGGAAUGCCACUACUUAGAAGCAAGAACCAGGGAUUCCAUAUGCUCGUACCAAUUUCAAACUCCACAUAUUGAAACACAUAACAAUUAAGAUAAAAGUCUAAGGGUUGUAACGGGGCUAAGGUAUUGGCUAAGAAAGAAUGGUCAAGGAUAAGCAAACUAAUGAAAUCAACACUUGGAAUUCAACUUUUGAUUGCAGAAACCAACUUUAAACACCCAUGGGAGAUUCACAAAACACUUAGGGCCAUAUUCAAACUUUUGGACCCUUCCUUCAACAACCAAUACUUGUGAGCUCAUUAUCACUUAUUUUGAACUUUUUUUCCUCUUUUUUUUUCCUCAACUCCUUUUUUUUUCUUUGUCUUCUCGUGCCCUUCUCUUUGGCACACAAAACGUACACCCUCAUAGAUUUCCAACAAAAAACCUUCCCCCACACUUGUUUUUCUACAUAAUGUCGAUGAAAAGGAAUUCCCAACAAGUCAUGCUUCACUAUUCUUUAAGAACAAGGGUAUGGAUAGUCCUAUUGUAGGCUACGUAGGGAUAAUGUAGGCUAACAAAGAAAAUAGGCUAAAUAAGGCUCAAAGGGGUUAAACCUACAAAACAUAUGCAAGGGAAUAAGGCUUUUUGGCUCUGGUGGUAACUAAACAACUUCAUCUUGUCUUUGUUAUGCAAUCAAUUUUAAGUUUUGAAUGAAACGGGCAUGAGUUCUAGUAUUUGGAACUAAAAUGAUGAAAAAGCAUUCCAAGUAGCAACCAAGCAAAGAAAUAAUGAGAUCAUGCAACGACUUUAGAAAACAUGGAUUCACAGAUUAAUAACUCUCCAAACAAAGAAUAGGCUCAAGUAUCUCAAGCUUGUAGUGUUAGUUUGAGUUCCGUCCUUCAAGCAUGUUACAAAAACUGGUUUUUUCCUUUAUGAUUACAGGUGAAUUCGUUAAUGACAACUACAACCAAGUAUUAACCAAAGAGCAUAUCAAACUUCCACCCAUGUUUGUAAUUUUCUUUAACAGUCAUGCAAUUAAAACAAAAUCAUCAUUGUGUUGGAAGGUACCCUAAGACACAAACACACAAAAACGACUCUAAAAACGACUGUUUUUGGGUUUUUCAAAACUUUUUCUAAUUUUUUUUCCAAAUUUUCGUAUUUUUCUUUCAAAACACAUUAAAACACUUCAAAACACAAUAAAAACACUUAAAGACAGUGAGUAACAACUCUAGAAGUGCUAGGUGGUGAAAUCCAACGAACAUUCAUGAAAAACACUUUGUUUACCCCUACCCCACACUUAAACCAAACAUUGUCCUCAAUGUUUCAAACAUAGACUCACAUGCACGCAAUCAAACAACACAUCUAACAAGCAUGACAAUUAUGGCAACGUAAAAGCAAUAAAGAGUAGGGUUAAGGAACGUAAAUCUAGGUUUGGAGCCGGAGAUUCCUAGGUCUUGUUUAUUUCAACGCAUGGGUUGCUCCCAAGAAGCACUUGAUUUAACAUCUUCCAACUAGACGAUACCUUCAUUUAAGCUUUACUAGGGCCAACGGCAUGAAGGGGUACAUCCUCUACGACAUGCUCCUAAAAAAUUUCAUGCAUUGGAUCUAUGAACAGAAGGGGAUGGUGAUCCUUCCGGAUUGUGGCGUUGAGCUUCCUAAAGUCAAUGUAAACUUUCCCACCAGCUUGAAUUUGAUUGGGCACCUGAACCGAAGAAGGUAACAACUUAUUAGUUGAAAUGGGAAUUGGAAUUGGGAUUGGAGGCUUAACAAUGUACUGCAAUGAAGACUCAAAAGUAGCAGCACUGUCAACAAUUUCAGAGGUCGUUCUCUCGGCCUGAUUAGGUAUUUUGAGGGCAAUGGCGUGUCCCUUAUGAUCCACUUCAAUUCCCUCUUCGAUGGUGGUUCGAAAUACAUCCUUCUUGCUAGGUGCUACAUGUUCCUGCCCUAUAUUUUUAUUCACAUCAAUGGCACAACAAGAAUGAACAUCAUUAGAAUUCUUAACAGAUUCAGAAACAUUAAAUUUGAUCACAUCGCCAUCAAACUCCAUAGUUAGAGCUCCCUUGGCCACAUCAAUCUUGUUUUGGGCUGCUUUCAUGAAUGGUCCUCCAAGUAAGAUUGGCAAUGGUGGAUAGUGGGCUGAAUCUUCCAUCUCAAGCACAUAAAAAUUUGCCGAAAAAAUCAAAUGGUUUACCUGCACCAAAACAUCUUCCAAAACUUCUUUCGGAUAUGCAUUAGAUCAAUCAGCCAAUUGAAUAAUGACACCAUCAUUUUUAAGCUUUCCUAGAUUCAUAGAUGCAUAAACAGAAUAUGGCAUGACAUUAAUGGAAGCACCUAAAUCUAGCAUUGUUGGAAAUAUGCCCUGAAAGUCAAUCUUUGGAAGAAACCUUUCAGGAUAAUAUAUGGAUGUAUAGAUGACUCUUAUACAUCAAAUGGCAAAGAUACUAUUUAGGACUAUCUCUAUAAACGAUAUAUGUCCUAAAUGGUGAAUCCAUGGACAAUGGAUCGAUUGAAGAAGUAAUCUAAUGAAGUUAGACUACAGAGACCUUCUUCACAUAACCAUCAUGUCCAAAAGGUUCCUGGUCAUAGGAUUGUCGGAGGGAUACUGACAAUGCAUAGACCGGUACAUACUAUGUCCGCUUCAAUUAGAAGGAUGGAAAGUCUCAUCCCAUUCGUGUAGUGACACUAAGACAAGUAUGUAGGUGCUCAUUAAGGGAAUGAGUUCAUUGAACACAAUCAAACGAGAGUACUUGCAUGGAGGUCUACUCACAUGUCAAGCAAGUAACUCUAAUAGUUGGAAUAAUGUAAGUAGUCCUUUAACCUGAGGCAUCAUCAUUGUCUUGUGGUUAAGUACUUGAUCUUUGAUUAUGUCAAAGUCACUCCAUCCGCGGGUGUCCACAGCAUAGUCGGGGUUAAGCCACUUAGUCAUGAUGGCAAGUGAAUGUGCAACAAGGAAUCUCUAAUCCUCGUUAAGAGAGGAUGAAUACUCUAAGAUAUGAUUCUGGAAUCUUCGACCGAAGUAUCGAGCGUAAUAAAGGAAAGCGUUCCUAUACGACUCAAUUGAAUCAUAUAAGAAGGAAUAAUCACAUUAGGGGUUUGACAUAAUAUAUCCAUACCCUAGUGAGGUGAUUGAGAGUAUUGUUUUAGAGAAGGAUCGAAUUGCAUUGUAAUUCCAACUGAAUAGGUUCUCCGAACAACU